GAACGUCCGGUAUGAGCGCGUGGGCGACGAGCGGCGCCUAUUCGACGGAAUACCCGCGUCCUGGAGCGCGCUCGACGGGGCGUACCUCUUGUUCGGGAGCUUGGCCACUGCCGGGGUGGCAUUGUCGCCGAGGGCCAUAAGGCGCAGGUGAACAUUACCGUGAUGCAUGGAGGUAGCAGGUGCAGAGGCGCCUCAGCGUCGAGGGAAAGUUCCUCGGUAUACUUUUCUGUUGCCUUUUAGGAAUUGCCUGUUUGAAUAAAUUCAGAGUUCAGCAUAGCAUAGUGGCAGUGAAAAAGAUGGAGCGUGG